rnacentral:snRNA from 1 species
AUACCUUUCUCGGCCUUUUGGCUAAGAUCAAGUGUAGUAUCUGUUCUUAUCAGUUUAAUAUCUGAUAUGUGAAUCAUUGAUUCACACGAUAUUAAAUUAAUUUUUUUUGGGUGAAAGUCCAAUCAAUGGCUUGCCAUUGGGAUUUUCGAGAGUCGUCAUUGCGUUGCACUAUUGCUUUGAUUGGCUCAACCCUA